AUUGAACGCUGGCGGCAUGCCUUACACAUGCAAGUCGAACGGCAGCAUAGGAGCUUGCUCCUGAUGGCGAGUGGCGAACGGGUGAGUAAUAUAUCGGAACGUGCCCUAGAGUGGGGGAUAACUAGUCGAGAGACUAGCUAAUACCGCAUACGAUCUACGGAUGAAAGUGGGGGAUCGCAAGACCUCAUGCUCCUGGAGCGGCCGAUAUCUGAUUAGCUAGUUGGUGGGGUAAAAGCCUACCAAGGCGACGAUCAGUAGCUGGUGUGAGAGGACGACCAGCCACACUGGGACUGAGACACGGCCCAGACUCCUACGGGAGGCAGCAGUGGGGAAUUUUGGACAAUGGGGGCAACCCUGAUCCAGCAAUGCCGCGUGAGUGAAGAAGGCCUUCGGGUUGUAAAGCUCUUUUGUCAGGGAAGAAACGGUAGUAGCUAAUAUCUAUUACUAAUGACGGUACCUGAAGAAUAAGCACCGGCUAACUACGUGCCAGCAGCCGCCGUAA
rnacentral:rRNA from 1 species